AGGGAAGCCAACUGAGAACAAGCCUUUGUCUGAAAGAGAAUGCAAAACUAAAAAGAACCUGCAUCCUUGAUUACGUUGCUGAGCUCCUAUACAAACCAAUCUCGGAGCUGACCUACCCCAGGAUUUCUUGGCUGGAAUCUUGCCAAUCCUUAAGAGCCCAGCUCAGACUCAUCUCCUACCUGAAGCCAUCCCUGACCUCUCCUGGCUUGCACACUGGAUAGUUUUCUCUGGUGGAAGCCAGCUGCCAUGUCGUGAGGACCGUCAAGAAACUCUGUAGAGCGGCCCACAUGAGGAAGAACUGCGACUUCUUGCCAAGAGCCAGCAUCAACUUGCCAGCCUGGUGAGGGAGCCACCUUGGAAGCAGAUCUCCAGCCUCAGACGAGCCUGCAGAUGACUGUAGUCCCCACUGACAUUUGACUACAACCUCAUCCAUGACUCAAAGCAAAAACACUCAGUAAGCCACUACCCAAUCCCUGACCCACAGGAACUA